rnacentral:lncRNA from 1 species
CUUGGCUUAUCUUUUUUUCACUUUCUGAAAUCUGUAUCUAUUGCAGACGAAACCAGUGGGGUCUUCAGGAUCAUCUUGGUCAGCCCUGUGGUCGAAUCUACUAGAACUGAUGGAAAGUCAACUUCCUCUGGGAAGAUGAGGAAGGUGCUUUCAUGUAAGUCUUUGGAGGAAGUUUCUUCAUCAGCUUUUUCAUCUCUUCAUUAGUUUCCAAGACCAAAGGGACUUUAGCAUAGUAAUUUAUGGAAACAUCCCCUUCUCUCUCU